rfam:Brassica napus, WGS project CCCW01000000 data, contig: 16918
UUUAUGUAAGAACCCGUCUCUUAACUUUUGACUAAAAAAACUAAGAACCGGUUCUUAAAUAAGAGUUUUAAGAGCCGGUUCUUAACUUUUUUAGUUAAAAGUUAAGAGACGGGUUCUUAUAUUCC